rnacentral:rRNA from 1 species
UUCAGCUCUUCUUGCGCAGCUUAGGUGGAAGGCGUAGAUCCAAUGCUUCCGGGUAUUGGGUAGCCAACAGUGAGAUACCACUCUUGAAGAGCUCGGAGUCUAAGGGCGAUCCUUGAUCAGGACGUCUGACCAUUUCUGGUGGGCAGUUUUACUGGGGCGGUAGCCUCCCAAAAGGUAACGGAGGCGUACAAAGGUUAUUUCAGAUUGGACAGAAAUCUCUCUCCGAGUGCAAAGGCAUAAAAUAGCUUGAUUGCGAGACUUACAAGUCAAGCAGGGACGAAAGUCGGUCUUAGUGAUCCGACGAUUCCGCGUGGAAGGGUCGUCGCUCAACGGAUAAAAGUUACUCUAGGGAUAACA